GGGCAGUUAGCUCAGUUGGUAGAGCGCGUUCUUGACGUGAACGAUGUCGGGGGUUCAAAUCCCUCACUGCCCA
rnacentral:tRNA from 6 species